ACAAUGACAGAGCCCAGAAGGCUUGAAAGUUGUUCCUUGGCAGACGGUGUCCCUAAGUUCCUCCACCAAGAAAGUCCUAUUUGUCAGCCUCUUCAGAUUUAAAGAUGAGACACUUGCUAUAAAAGGACCCCAAAGAAGAAAAUGACUUCAGAUAUUGUCACUGAGCUUGUGGGUUGCUGUUUCCGGAAGAGCAGGAUUAGGAGCUGAAGGCCCUCAUGUACAGCAGAAGGAAGAGAGAAAAUAAGAACAGUGAAGAUUUAUCCCUAUGGAUCAUUUCACCAGGGAUGUCUGCAUGAAUCAACAAGGACUAAAUGAAUAUCAUGAUGACUCACUGAUGGUGUAUCGGAUGGCAAGUGGCCUCCAUUUGUGCUCCAGACCCAGGCUCCACAAAUGGCUGGGGCGGGGCUGCCCUGGGAGCCCACUGCAGCUUGUGUCCCCC
rnacentral:lncRNA from 1 species